rnacentral:rRNA from 1 species
GACGAACGCUGGCGGCGUGCUUAACGCAUGCAAGUCGAACGGAAAGGCCCUGCUUGCAGGGUGCUCGAGUGGCGAACGGGUGAGUAACACGUGGGUGAUCUGCCCCUUACUUUGGGAUAAGCCUGGGAAACUGGGUCUAAUACUGGAUAGGACCAUGCUGUAGGUGGUGUGGUGGAAAGAUUAGUUUCGGUAAGGGAUGAGCUCGCGGCCUAUCAGCUUGUUGGUGGGGUAAUGGCCUACCAAGGCGUCGACGGGUAGCCGGCCUGAGAGGGUGGACGGCCACAUUGGGACUGAGAUACGGCCCAGACUCCUACGGGAGGCAGCAGUGGGGAAUAUUGCACAAUGGGCGCAAGCCUGAUGCAGCGACGCCGCGUGGGGGAUGACGGCCUUCGGGUUGUAAACUCCUUUCGGCCAUGACGAAGCCCUUGUGGUGACGGUAGUGGUAGAAGAAGCACCGGCUAACUACGUG